AGAUCGGAAUCACCUUGGCAACACUGAUACCUAGCCAGGCUGAGCUCAACAUCACCACCAGGGUAGAAGCGUCAAGAUGACGGUUGACAAUUGACAUUGACAUGCGUGACACAGAAAUAGACUUAAGGGAAAUGAGACGAAAACAAUAAUAAAUUAUAAAAAAGAACAUUGGAUUAGUAAGACACGUGAAGAAUAAAAUUAAAUACAGUGAAUUAUUUGGAUUACACAAUUUAUUAAAUAACACAAUCAUACGUUGACACAUACGACGAUUGUUAGUGUAACGAAACAUUACCAGAUUGACACGGACAAGUUUAUAAAUAAAAGGACUUAGAAUUCUUAAAGCAUACUCCAGCACAUAAACCGAGUUGCUAGAUAGAGCGUCCGAAAGCCCGUGUCGAUAACUGGCCACAACAAACUUUAAGAAUUCUAACCUCAAUUCUGCCACAGAGGUUUUAGAAUUUUACACUGUACGGCAAAAUUUUGCUCUGCGAUGGCAACAUCGAACCGACGACAAAGUGUAGUUCGAAGGCUAUCAGAUGACGAAGAUCAUCAUGAUUGUCCACUUUGUACGCAACCGAAUAGCGCCGACAAGUGGAUGGUCCAAUGCGACGGCUGUGAAAGUUGGAUCCACUUCUCAUGUGCCGGAGUGGACGAGAACGUACAGAACAACUCGUUUGUCUGCGUGACAUGCGCUCCCCCUGCGCCGGCGAGAUCAAGUUCGGCUAGAUCUGCAUCGUCUAGUGUACGUGCCGCCAAGCGGG